UUUUUUUUGUCUUUUUAGGGCUGCACUCUUGGCAUAUGGCAGUUCUCUGGCUAGGGGUUGAAUCAGAGCUAAAGCUGCUGGCUUACGCCACAGCCACAGCAACAUGGGAUCCAAUUCACAUCUGUGACCUACACCACAGCUCACGGCAAUGCUGGAUCCUUAACCCACUGAACGAGGCCAGGGAUGGAAGCCACAUCCUCAUGCAUACUAGCCAGGUUCAUUACCGCUGAGCCCUGAUGCGAACUCCAGCAAUAAAUAUUUUUAAUUAAAGUAUGUACACUGUUGCUUAGACAUAAUGCUAUGACACACCUAACAGACAACAGUAUAGUGUAAACAGAACUUUCAUAUGCACUGGGAAACCAGAAAAUUCACAUGACUCUCUUUACUGCAAUAUUCACUUUAUUAUGGGGAUCUGGAACUGAACCUGCUGUAUCUCUGAGGUCUGCUUGUAUUUGUGUCUUUUUUGUUUCUGUCUCCAAAGAGAAAUGGACAGAAAAUGAAUCAGUAACUGAGAGCAUCAAAGAAUGUUAGAACUGAAAAGAAGCUCUAGAAAUUUUCUGGGGAAAGGAAAUAAAUCUGUGACAUCUGUUCUUAUACGCCAGACAUAGUUUAGGCACAAGGUUAUGAGCCACUUCAUUUAUCAUUCCUUAGAAUCUCCUAAAGAUUCUAAAGAUUCAUCCCUUAGAAUCUCCUAAAGGGAUGCUAAGUAUCAUUAGCCUCCUAAAGAGUCCUUCAAAAAUGACUCAAGGUCAGACAUCCAGCUGACGGCAUGUGCAUGAUUAGAAUCUAAGCCUGGGAUCUGCCCAGUCUCUUGACCCUUCAGGCUCUUUCUGAUCCCAGGACACUGCUUUUUCCUCCCCUUGACGUUUUUUGGGCUUAUUAAAGAAGAAUGGUAUAUGUAUCCUGGGAGAGUUAUGGAUCUUUGUUGUGCUCUGGUCUGAAGGUUUGGGUCCCCCCAGAGUUGAUAGGUUGAAAUUCUAACUCCUGCUAUGAUGGAAGUAGUGGAGCUUUUAGAAGAGGCUAAAGGCAUGGGGUGGAGCCUUUGUGAAUGGAGUUGAUGUCCUGGUAAAAGACCCCAGAGAGCUUCCUUGCCACGUCCACCACAGCAGCAGGACAUGGUGAGAAGGCGCUGGUUAUGAGCUGGGAAGAGGGCCCUCACCAGAAAACCACCGUGCUGGCACCUUGAUCUUGGACUUCCAGCCUCCAGAACUAUGAGAAGUUAGUAUCUGUCAUUUUAAGGCUCCCAGUCUGCAGUAUUUUGCCGUAGCAGCCCGGACUAAGACAGGGUGCAAGCGACAAAACCCAACUUUGUGCUACCUGAGCAACAGGGUAAUUUGUUACGCAGAUGCAGGGCACUCACAUAUUCAAAAAGAUGGUUUAAGAACCAGACUUGAACACAAAGACGCCAGAUAACUCGAGGGGUCUCCACAGCAGAGCAACACAGACUUCAGGGCCCCAGGAUGAAAUGAAUGAGGGUGGUUGUUUCUCUUACUUUUCUCUUCUUCUCUGUCAACUCCCCUCCCGUGACCACUCAGCCUGAGCCAGCCGAACCUGGCACCCCAACUGAGUGUCCCCUUACCUCAGGGCACAGUCAGGGGGUUUGGUGAGCCUGCACCACUAACCAACCCAGCAUUAGUACUGCUAAGCCAUUUUGUUUGUUUGUUUGGUUGGUCAUUUUAGGGCCGCACCCAUGGCACAUGGACGUUCCCAGGCUAGGGGCUGAAUCAGAGCAGCCGCUGCUGGCCUACACCACAGCCACAGCCACCACACAGGAUCCAAGCCAUGUCUGUGCUCUACACCACUGCUCAAGGCAGCACUGGAUCCUUACCCACUGAGCGAGGCCAGGGAUCGAACCUAAGUACUAGUUGGGUUCCUUACUGCUGAGCCAUGAUAGGAACUCCCUAUUUCUUUUUUCUUUUUUUUUUAAUGGAGAAAAAUGUAGACAAACCAAGGAUCAUCAUUUUAGAAGAAUUCAAGGACAAAAUAUCCUUUCCUUCACAGUGUAAUAAAUACGGUUGGCACAACCUGUUCUAGGUAGAUACUGGUUAUUCACCUUGUGAAAUUUCUGUCUUUGGAAAUGAUACUCAGUGGAAAGAGUCUUCGCAUCAAACAGGUUUGGUUUCAAAUCCCAUAUUCUAUGUCUGAUGAUGUGUGAGGGCUUGGACAAGCAUUUGUUCUUUCUCUGCAAUCUGUAAAAUGGGUAUAUUUUCCUCGAUCGCCCUUUCACAAAGAGCAGUAAUAAGGAUCACUUGAUAUUAUUACAUACGAGCGUCUAGCUUUUCUUUCCUCCAAGGCCUUGAGGUCUCAUGGCAGGUCGGAUAAACAAAUUAUACAUUUUCUAUAGGCACUGUCUUUUCCCCAACCCCUAACCCACUCCUCCUAAGGGACGCACUGUCUAUUCCCAGAGCAUGUCCACAGGGAAGUUCCGACACUCAAGCACAGCAAAGUAUAAAGAAUGAAAAGGCAGGCACUUCUCCCAGGACAGUGAACUGGCAGAUGCACUCCAUCUGGGUCAAAAUGUGGAAGGUCGGAUAUAAACUGGUGGUCAGGGCACUGAUACUGUCAAGGCAGAUAAUGCAGCCAACAUCAGGAGGCUCUAGGAACAGUGUGGAGGCUGCAAGCACCAAGACCGCAGGUGAGGCAGGCACGUCCAUCCUGAAAGGCAAGGGCUAAGUGACUUGCCAGGACUGAAAGAACAAGUCACCAAAGUAGAGCGGAGGGACAUCCACAUGGCCCUGCGUUUGCAUUCUCGCUCCAUACUGACCAGCUAUGGGAACUUGGGCCCGUGAAUGCUGGUCUCUCGGCAUCUAUAAACCUGCCAUCUCCUUACUCAUAGGUCCUUCGCUAGGAUUAAAUGUGCUGAGAGCUAGGCUGGGUUUGAUCCACGCGGGGCUGCUGGGCUACUCGGUCACACAGCUCUUCUUCCAUCCUCGGGGUGGGCAUGGGCUCCCCGGGCCCCGAGCUCUACCUUGGCGGGUGCAGCUGGAUUAGGUCUUCGGUGCGGGGCUGGCGCCCACAUCUCCCCCUCCUCCACUGCCCCUCCCCAGCCUGCCCAAGAAGGAGGGGGCGGUGCAGGAGGAGGUUUUUUUCUCCUCUCUCAGGCUGAGAAGCCUGCAUGCCCCCCUCUGGCCCUCUGCCCACCGCCCACCCAUCCCUGCGGGCCCCGGGGAGUUUCCCUCCGCAGCGGAGCCGUCUGGGGAUAGGCUGCCUGAGUGAAAAGUAAGCCGCCGAGGAAGAGAGGCUUGACAGGAGGUCCAAAUAAGCACUUCCUCCC
rnacentral:lncRNA from 1 species